rnacentral:rRNA from 1 species
GUUAGCGGCAGGCUUAACACAUGCAAGUCGAGCGAGAAAGGGGCUUCGGCUCCGAGUAAAGCGGCGGACGGGUGCGUAACACGUGGAUAAUCUGCCUCGUGGCGGGGGACAACAGUCCGAAAGGACUGCUAAUACCGCAUGUCAGGUCGGAAACUCCGGUUUCUGACGAAAAAGAGGGCGCCCGCAAGGGGCUCUCACCACGAGAUGAGUCCGCGUCCCAUCAGCUAGUUGGCGGUGUAAUAGACCACCAAGGCUUAGACGGGUAGCUGGUCUGAGAGGAUGACCAGCCACACUGGGACUGAGACACGGCCCAGACUCCUACGGGAGGCAGCAGUGGGGAAUAUUGGACAAUGGGCGAAAGCCUGAUCCAGCCAUGCCGCGUGAGUGAUGAAGGCCUCGGUCGUAAGACUCUGUGGGG